GAUGAACGCUGGCGGCGUGCCUAAUACAUGCAAGUCGAGCGAACAGACGAGGAGCUUGCUCCUCUGACGUUAGCGGCGGACGGGUGAGUAACACGUGGAUAACCUACCUAUAAGACUGGGAUAACUUCGGGAAACCGGAGCUAAUACCGGAUAAUAUAUUGAACCGCAUGGUUCAAUAGUGAAAGACGGUUUUGCUGUCACUUAUAGAUGGAUCCGCGCCGCAUUAGCUAGUUGGUAAGGUAACGGCUUACCAAGGCAACGAUGCGUAGCCGACCUGAGAGGGUGAUCGGCCACACUGGAACUGAGACACGGUCCAGACUCCUACGGGAGGCAGCAGUAGGGAAUCUUCCGCAAUGGGCGAAAGCUUGACGGAGCAACGCCGCGUGAGUGAUGAAGGUCUUCGGAUCGUAAAACUCUGUUAUUAGGGAAGAACAAAUGUGUAAGUAACUAUGCACGUCUUGACGGUACCUAAUCAGAAAGCCACGGCUAACUCCGUG
rnacentral:rRNA from 1 species